UCACAUCUGCGCUCAAACGUGCGGGUAACGAAGAGGCGCAAACGCUGCGCUUCCGACGGCCGCUAAUAUAACUGGUUAACAAAGGUACCAUGCCGGUCAGCGCAGGGGCGGAGUAACUGCCCUGUCCAGCAGGGGGCACAUGAGGCGGAUACCCAGGCAGGGUGGUACUCGCCAGGUCGCGGCCUGCAGGGAUGAGACACACGUGUACGCCUUGGUCAGUCGCCACACGGAUCAGGGAGGCGGGCACAGUUUACAGAAAGCAGUAGAAGUUUCUGGAAACUCCCCAAGAAGGGUUAAAAUACGUCACGUCCCCCCGACUUUCAUCAGUCACUGACGCUACGUCCUGCUUGUUUAUCC